rnacentral:tRNA from 1 species
GACCACGUAGCUCAGUUGGCAGAGCAUUGGGCUAGUAUCCAAAAGGUCGCGGGCUCGAUUCCCACCGUGGCCA